ACGAACGCUGGCGGCACGCUUAACACAUGCAAGUCGAACGAGAGAAGAGAAGCUUGCUUUUCUGAUCUAGUGGCGGACGGGUGAGUAACACGUGAGCAAUCUGCCUUUCAGAGGGGGAUACCGAUUGGAAACGAUCGUUAAUACCGCAUAACAUAAUUGAACCGCAUGAUUUGAUUAUCAAAGAUUUAUCGCUGAAAGAUGAGCUCGCGUCUGAUUAGCUAGUUGGUAAGGUAACGGCUUACCAAGGCGACGAUCAGUAGCCGGACUGAGAGGUUGAUCGGCCACAUUGGGACUGAGACACGGCCCAGACUCCUACGGGAGGCAGCAGUGGGGAAUAUUGCACAAUGGAGGAAACUCUGAUGCAGCGAUGCCGCGUGAGGGAAGAAGGUUUUAGGAUUGUAAACCUCUGUCUUCAGGGACGAAAAAAGACGGUACCUGAGGAGGAAGCUCCGGCUAACUACGUGCCAGCAGCCGCGGUAAUACGUAGGGAGCGAGCGUUGUCCGGAAUUACUGGGUGUAAAGGGAGCGUAGGCGGGAUCGCAAGUCAGAUGUGAAAACUAUGGGCUUAACCCAUAAACUGCAUUUGAAACUGUGGUUCUUGAGUGAAGUAGAGGUAAGCGGAAUUCCUAGUGUAGCGGUGAAAUGCGUAGAUAUUAGGAGGAACAUCAGUGGCGAAGGCGGCUUACUGGGCUUUAACUGACGCUGAGGCUCGAAAGCGUGGGGAGCAAACAGGAUUAGAUACCCUGGUAGUCCACGCCGUAAACGAUGAUUACUAGGUGUGGGGGGACUGACCCCUUCCGUGCCGCAGCAAACGCAAUAAGUAAUCCACCUGGGGAGUACGACCGCAAGGUUGAAACUCAAAGGAAUUGACGGGGGCCCGCACAAGCAGUGGAGUAUGUGGAUUAAUUCGAAGCAACGCGAAGAACCUUACCAGGUCUUGACAUCGUAUGCAUAGCUCAGAGAUGAGUGAAAUCUCUUCGGAGACAUAUAGACAGGUGGUGCAUGGUUGUCGUCAGCUCGUGUCGUGAGAUGUUGGGUUAAGUCCCGCAACGAGCGCAACCCUUACUGUUAGUUGCUACGCAAGAGCACUCUAGCAGGACUGCCGUUGACAAAACGGAGGAAGGUGGGGAUGACGUCAAAUCAUCAUGCCCCUUAUGACCUGGGCCUCACACGUACUACAAUGGCUGUCAACAGAGGGAAGCAAAGCCGCGAGGUGGAGCAAACCCCUAAAAGCAGUCUUAGUUCGGAUUGUAGGCUGCAACCCGCCUACAUGAAGUCGGAAUUGCUAGUAAUCGCAGAUCAGCAUGCUGCGGUGAAUACGUUCCCGGGCCUUGUACACACCGCCCGUCAAGCCAUGAAAGCCGGGGGUACCUGAAGUGCGUAACCGCAAGGAGCGCCCUAGGGUAAAACUGGUGAUUGGGGCU
rnacentral:rRNA from 1 species